rnacentral:rRNA from 1 species
AACGAACGCUGGCGGCAGGCUUAACACAUGCAAGUCGAACGAAGUCUUCGGACUUAGUGGCGCACGGGUGAGUAACACGUGGGAAUAUACCUUUUGGUGGGGGAUAACAUCGGGAAACUGAUGCUAAUACCGCAUAAGCCCUUUGGGGGAAAGAUUUAUCGCCAAAAGAUUAGCCCGCGUCCGAUUAGCUAGUUGGUAGGGUAACGGCCUACCAAGGCAACGAUAGGUAGCUGGCCUGAGAGGAUGAUCAGCACCACUGGGACUGGGACACGGCCCAGACUCCUACGGGAGGCAGCAGUGGGGAAUAUUGGACAAUGGGCGCAAGCCUGAUCCAGCCAUGCCGCGUGAGUGAUGAAGGCCUUAGGGUUGUAAAGCUCUUUCGGGUGGGACGAUGAUGACGGUACCACCAGAAGAAGCCCCGGCUAACUUCGUGCCAGCCGCCGCAGUAACAC